CCUGAUGCAGUGCUCAUCUGCCCAUGGCUGACCGCCUUCUGUGUGCCUCUGCUGUUGUUACUGCUGUUAACUCUCUGUGUGUGUUGGAGAGCAGCAGAAAUGCAGAAAGGUUGUGGAACAACUCAUGACCUCAGUCACCAGCAAUGGAUUAUCAAUAAUGUUCAGAGAAAAAAAGGCCAAGAAUUGUGGACUGAAGUUCUGUAUACAUAGAAAAAAAUCCUAUUAUUCCUUUAUCUUUCGGCUC